AUUAUAUUAAUUGAUGGUAAUAAAUAAUUAUCAAUUAAUACGACGUAUAUUAUAUAAAAUA
rnacentral:tRNA from 1 species